rnacentral:lncRNA from 1 species
GGAAAUCUUGAUGUCCCGAAUGGAAAGUGGCUGUAGUGCUUCUUUGGUUCAUGAUGAGUAAUGUAGUGUGGGUCCAUUUUAAGAUACCAAGGAUCUCUUUAAGGCGUUCUGGUCCUGUUUCAUCUUUCAAGUAUUCACCUUGGAUUGAGCAUCAAUACUGCGCUUUUUCAACCGAUUGCCUGAAUUCUAUUGCCCUUUCGGCUGCUUCUAACCCAUUAUCAUUACCAGUUUCACUUGC